CAGGCCCCAGGGGACAGCCCAGACUUAGGAGAGCUGACAGAUGAAGCCACGUUUGGCUGGUACUCCAAGGUGGAUGCUUCCCAGCUCCUGCAUGCUAUCCCUGCAGCAGGUACCAUAAUGAAAGGUCAACAGUAACGGCUUGAGGCGAAAGGAUAAGAUGUGACAGAGACACAUCAGAAAUUAUGUAGCUGCUACAGAGAAGAUUCCUGGCAGGGGCUCUUGAUCCUCAUGAAAUUGGAAACACCCACAAGAAUCAACCUGAGGACACUGGGCCAAUGAUUCUGACACCCCAUUGGCUGAGUGCAGGCAGUGAUGCCCUCUGAGGACAGCUAGGACAGAAGUCAGGGAUGCCUGGAGAAAAAGCAGGACCACAAGGGCCACACUUGG